GAUGAACGCUGGCGGCGUGCCUAAUACAUGCAAGUCGAGCGAACGGACGAGAAGCUUGCUUCUCUGAUGUUAGCGGCGGACGGGUGAGUAACACGUGGAUAACCUACCUAUAAGACUGGGAUAACUUCGGGAAACCGGAGCUAAUACCGGAUAAUAUUUUGAACCGCAUGGUUCAAAAGUGAAAGACGGUCUUGCUGUCACUUAUAGAUGGAUCCGCGCUGCAUUAGCUAGUUGGUAAGGUAACGGCUUACCAAGGCAACGAUGCAUAGCCGACCUGAGAGGGUGAUCCGCCACACUGGAACUGAGACACGGUCCAGACUCCUACGGGAGGCAGCAGUAGGGAAUCUUCCGCAAUGGGCGAAAGCCUGACGGAGCAACGCCGCGUGAGUGAUGAAGGUCUUCGGAUCGUAAAACUCUGUUAUUAGGGAAGAACAUAUGUGUAAGUAACUGUGCACAUCUUGACUGUACCUAAUCAGAAAGCCACGGCUAACUACGUG
rnacentral:rRNA from 1 species